rnacentral:rRNA from 1 species
GACGAACCGUGCAAACGUUGUUCGGAAUCACUGGGCUUAAAGGGCGCGUAGGCGGCUCAUCAAGUCGGGGGUGAAAUACUUCAGCUUAACUGGAGAAGUGCCUUCGAUACUGGUGGGCUUGAGGGAGGUAGGGGUCUUUGGAACGUUCUGGUGGAGCGGUGAAAUGCGUUGAUAUCAGAAGGAACGCCGGUGGCGAAAGCGAAGGACUGGACCUCUUCUGACGCUGAGGCGCGAAAGCUAGGGGAGCAAACGGG